UCCUCUGUAGUAUUGUGGCUAGUAUCCCCGCCUGUCAUGUGGGCGAAUGGGGUUCGAUUCCCCGUCGGGGAA